rnacentral:rRNA from 1 species
UACGGUGGGGGCAAGCGUUGUUCGGAAUUACUGGGCGUAAAGGGCUCGUAGGCGGCCAACUAAGUCGGAUGUGAAAUCCCCAGGCUUAACUUGGGAACUGCAUCCGAUACUGGAUGGCUUGAAUCCGGGAGAGGGAUGCGGAAUUCCAGGUGUAGCGGUGGAAUGCGUAGAUAUCUGGAGGAACACCGGUGGCGAAGGCGGCAUCCUGGACCGGCAUUGACGCUGAUGAGCGAAAGCCAGGGGAGCAAACGGG